rnacentral:rRNA from 1 species
UUACCUACGGGGGGCAGCAGUGGGGAAUAUUGGACAAUGGGGGGAACCCUGAUCCAGCGACGCCGCGUGAGUGAAGAAGUAUUUCGGUAUGUAAAGCUCUAUCAGCAGGGAAGAAAGAAAUGACGGUACCUGACUAAGAAGCCCCGGCUAACUACGUGCCAGCAGCCGCGGUAAUACGUAGGGGGCAAGUGUUAUCCGGAUUCACUGGGUGUAAAGGGAGCGUAGACGGCCAUGCAGGCCUGGAGUGAAAGCCCGGGGCCCAACCCCGGGACUGCUCUG